UUUUUUUUUUUUUUUAGAUAACAGGUAAAGCUGCAGCCCCUUUUGCCAGCCUGGAUGCUGCUGUAUAGCCCAUGGGCAGUACAGACGGUGCGCUCUGGCUCCUGCACACAAUAAUUGUUUUACUCUGCCAGCCUGAUACCUCCUCUUCUCUAUAAGAAAUGUUCCAGCAUUGCCCCAUCUUUAGCUAUGGAUCUGUCAUGCGAGACAAAGAAGGAAGAAGUGAAACAUUUUUGGAAGUAUCCUUGGAAGCAGGAGACAGAUCCUUCCCUCCUCAAGCAGGAGCUCUGCUUGGAAUCACAGCACUGUGAAAUAAUAGAUAAUGUGGACACAGGCCUGAAGUUGCUCAUGGACACAGCAGCAUCUGGAGCAAGAGGGACAGGCUGAGCAGAGCUGUGCUGAGGCCACAGGGCUGCAGUCCUUGAGUCACCAAUGAGGCAGGAGCACAUCUGCUCUAACAAAGUUUCUUUCCAUGCCUUUCCUCGGGACAGUUUUUUAUCUGCUGUAAAUGUACAAAAGUCACAGCACUUUUAUUUUGCAUCAGAUCAUACGGAUCGCUGCCUUCUCUCCAAUAGCAGCACAAACAAACCUCUUCUGCCUGACCUGGGUCUGCAAAACAGAUUGUGUGUUUAUUCCAUGACAAUACCCACUUCUUUAUUUGUGUGCAAACAGCAGGCUCCAGAAGGAGCAUGAUUCUCCUUUGCAAAGUGCUCUGUGCCUUUGGGGUAGAAACUCACCUUUCCUUCAAAGCUAUAAACAGAUGCUGUUAUUCUUGGGUUUGCAGGGUGGAUGCUUCACAGAAAGCAGAGCUUACAGCAGGCUAGAAAGAGCUUCUUUUUCAGAAAAAUGUGGACAUUAGGAUGGAGUUUGAGAGGAACAUAGAUAGGUUUGGGUUGGAAGGAAUCUUUUAAGAUCACUUUAUUCCAACCUCCCUGCCAUUAAAUUUUUCCUUAGAUCAGGUUGCUCAAGCUGACCUUAGGGUGACUGUCUCUCUCAUGACUCCUGUAGUUGGUGCUCAUCUUGUCCCAGGUGAGCACCUGAGGGUGGCUCAUCUCCCCUCCACUCCCACCCUGCCUCACACUGUUGGUUCCAGCUGUUUGUGAUACCAACCCACUGCCUCUAUCUUCAUCUAAGAGCCCUUUGCCAGCAGGAGCUGGGCUUGCUUUUGCAGUUUGGAGGACCCCUGGUGAUUCAGUUUGUGAUACUUUGGCAGAGGUGAAAUGAAAUCAGAAAUAAAGAUGAAAAAAAUUGUAACCAGGCUCAAAAAGUCAGACUAGCCAUUCCCCUAGGUAAAACAGGGGUGGGGAAGAAGGAAGCUUUUAAAAGGAAGUGAGCUGAGUCUUUGUGCUAUUUUUGGUUUGCCCAGAGUGGUACAGGGUGGAAUUCUGCUGCUGGCUUAUUAGAAUAUGCAUCAAAGGUGAAACUGGAUCAUGGUACUGCUGACACAAAGACUCUCCCCAUGGCACAGAGCGCACGUCUGGCCUCUUUUCCCUCAGCCUGGCUUUCAUGCUGGCAUAUCUACACUUCUGUGGACAGGGGCUGAAAUGCAUUGAACAAAUAUUUCAGAAUGCACAGAAUGCUGAUAGGAAUGGGCAAGUUCUAUGUAUUGCAUAAACAAUAAACAUGUUCAUUCUCUCCCAAAAAAACAACCAUGUGUGAAAUAGCACGUUACAAAAAAAAACCCUUAACUUUGCCCAUUAUACUGAAAUGCACUUCAUUGUGUGUGUCAUCAGUGCAUUUCAAGACCAAAGUGUGAAAAAUGCCAUUUAUGUAUUUGUUAAUUACUUAUAACAUUUUAUUUGUUCGAUUUCAAUGAUUUUUUUUAUGACUCCAUAGUAAGCCUGGGCUGAAACAUUGUAUUUGUGGAGUAUUUUCAUUAAGGCAGCUGUUCUGCUCUCUGCUCUGACCUGGGCCAGUCAUCUUCAUCUACUUCACACCAGCUUGGUCUGAAUUGUGAAUACAGACUUGUUUUCUCUUUUCAUUUGACAUCUUUCCCAGAGCUGCUGCAUGUCAAAGACAUCAGGUGACAAACACUUGGCAGGGCCACCUGCUUCCCUCCAGCCCAGCUGAGACCUCCCUGCACUCCCAGGAAAACACCUCUGAAAUAUUCCCAGGAGCAUUGGAGGCUGGGUCACCACAGGCUGCUGUGGCAUUUGCAGCCUCCUGUCUCUGCUUUGUCCCUGACAGAAUGCAGUGGAGAGCACCCAGAUCACAUAAAGGUGGCAUUGGUCAGUGUGGGAAGUACAGGACAUCUCUUCAAACAACCUCCCACGCAUUUGUUUGCAGCCAGUCCUGCUCAGCUUUCCUCUUAGAUCCACAUGGACAGGGAGCUUUCAGUUUUCCUGGCGAAUUUCACUCAGUUUGCCUUGAUUAGGUCGCAGCACUUCAAGACAACAAUUAACAAUAUCAGAUUCCUUUUGGCCUGACCCAUUGCUCCCCACAAAUCAGCUGGUGAUGGCCAACACAGAGCUGUGCAUGAGGGCCUUGACCAAAGUGGACGGCUCUGCGUGCUGGGAAAACUCAGGUUUGCAGUGCCAGCUGGAGGCAGGUUGUGGCAAGCACAUUUCUUUCUCUCUCAGGAUUUUUUCAUAGAGCAGCACAGAGGAAAGAAAGAGAAAACAAUUUCUAUUUCUGCUCCUUGUUUUUUGCAUGUGGAACAGGCUUGGAGAAUUGUUUACCUGGGGUGAUUGCUUGAUUGGAUUCUGGUGAGGAUUGUUUAAGCCUGAUGGCCAAUCCAACCCACCUGUGUCUGGACUCUCAAGAGGUCGCAAGUCGUUGAUUAGUUAGAAUGGUAGUUAGAGAAAGUAGGUAUGUAGUUUUAGUAUCUUCCUUUAUAUAGUAUAUUAAUGUAUUAUAGCAUAAUUAUAAUAAAGAAAUCAUUCAGCCUUCUGAAA